GACGAACGCUGGCGGCGUGCCUAAUACAUGCAAGUUGAGCGCUGAAGGUUGGUACUUGUACCAACUGGAUGAGCAGCGAACGGGUGAGUAACGCGUGGGGAAUCUGCCUUUGAGCGGGGGACAACAUUUGGAAACGAAUGCUAAUACCGCAUAAAAACUUUAAACACAAGUUUUAAGUUUGAAAGAUGCAAUUGCAUCACUCAAAGAUGAUCCCGCGUUGUAUUAGCUAGUUGGUGAGGUAAAGGCUCACCAAGGCGAUGAUACAUAGCCGACCUGAGAGGGUGGUCGGCAACAUUGGGACUGAGACACGGCCCAAACUCCUACGGGAGGCAGCAGUAGGGAAUCUUCGGCAAGGGACGAAAGUCUGACCGAGCAACGCCGCGGGAGUGAAGAAGGUUUUCGGAUCGUAAAACUCUGUUGGUAGAGAAGAACGUUGGUGAGAGUGGAAAGCUCAUCAAGUGACGGUAACUACCCAGAAAGGGACGGCUAACUACGUG
rnacentral:rRNA from 1 species